AACGUAGGACGCAAACGUUAUCCGGAAUUACUGGGCGUAAAGAGCUCGUAGGCGGUGUGUCGCGUCGGCCGUGAAAACUUGCAGCUUAACUGUGGGCGUGCGGUCGAUACGGGCAUCACUGGAGUUCGGCAGGGGAGACUGGAAUUCCUGGUGUAGCGGUGAAAUGCGCAGAUAUCAGGAGGAACACCGGUGGCGAAGGCGGGUCUCUGGGCCGAUACUGACGCUGAGGAGCGAAAGCGUGGGGAGCGAACAGG
rnacentral:rRNA from 1 species